rnacentral:rRNA from 1 species
AUUGAACGCUGGCGGCAGGCUUAACACAUGCAAGUCGAGCGGAGCGAGGGUGCUUGCACCUUAGCUUAGCGGCGGACGGGUGAGUAAUGCUUAGGAAUCUGCCUAUUAGUGGGGGACAACAUUCCGAAAGGGAUGCUAAUACCGCAUACGCCCUACGGGGGAAAGCAGGGGAUCUUCGGACCUUGCGCUAAUAGAUGAGCCUAAGUCGGAUUAGCUAGUUGGUGGGGUAAAGGCCUACCAAGGCGACGAUCUGUAGCGGGUCUGAGAGGAUGAUCCGCCACACUGGGACUGAGACACGGCCCAGACUCCUACGGGAGGCAGCAGUGGGGAAUAUUGGACAAUGGGCGGAAGCCUGAUCCAGCCAUGCCGCGUGUGUGAAGAAGGCCUUUUGGUUGUAAAGCACUUUAAGCGAGGAGGAGGCUACUAGUAUUAAUACUACUGGAUAGUGGACGUUACUCGCAGAAUAAGCACCGGCUAACUCUGUGCCAGCAGCAGCCGCCGUAACAC